rnacentral:sRNA from 1 species
GCAUUUGAUAUCUUAGAGGAGUGUCUGUGAACAGUUAUCAGUGAUCGUUGAUAACCUCGAGGAGUCAUAGAAGUUGUUUGCUCUUUCCGGACAUGUAAGUAAUAUGUGAACCUAUCCCUUCACGUUUCUUUUUGGUUGUCUUUUUAUGAUAAAUAUUUAUUUAAAAAAUGAAAGAUCUGUGUAAUAUAAAUUAAAUGAAUAUUUUUAAUGCAUCUAGUCAGUCCGUUACAUUAGAGGGAAGUAACACCGUUGUUUGUUGACUAAAUCCACGACAUCAUAUAAUUACUUGAAAGUUGCACCAUACUUUUUAAGACAUAAAUCAUUAGUAAAUUAGAUAACCUUAAUUUGUUUAAUAAUUAACACGAGAAAUAGAAUACUGGCACUUUAACAAGAAGAUGCUGUUUUUUUUAAAUCUGAUAAGCUACUAGUAAUCUGCUGACGAAAUUUGUUACGCUUGGAUGAUAGCUAAACUAACUGCUUCAGUAUGUCACGUGUUAAUAAUCUAUUGGUGUUAGCACUUUUUGUAAUUUAAACAACUAAGUGCAAAGGCAAAAGUAGUAAGACUUGCUUUCUUAAACGUAAACAAAAGUACUAAAAACACAAUGUUAAAAAGUUCACCGGGAUAUGAACUUGGUUGGUACGUGAUCAAAUCUUCUGAGAAGCCCAGGAUUUGAUUGCGUGGCCAACGAAGUUCAUAUCCAGGUGAUAUUUUUAACAUGUUGUUUAUUUCUUUAGUGUAUAUGUUACAAUCAUUUAAUGCCAUUAACAUUUCCGUUGUACGAAAAGAAAUGCACUUAACAAACGGUAAUCGAUAUGUAAGCAAACCGUAAAGGUAUUAUGCAAUACACGGGGUUGUCCGGUAGAAAGAACAGUCUUCCUAACGAAGCUAGUAAAAUUGCAAAAAGUGAGAAUUUUGCUAAUAGAACAGUUACUUUGCGUCAAAAUAAACGUUGUUCUGAAAUAGUGCCUGGUUUUACAUAUACAUGUAACAAACUUGAUGACAUAUUUAGGUACAAAGUCUUAUUACCCUGUGGAUCAUAACAUUGUGUAAGUAAUAACAAAGUAUCCAUAAUAUCUAGACAAUUAGUCUUGUGAAGAUUUAUUUAACACAUACUUUUACUCAGUUGUAGAAUGGAGCUGGCGUCAAAGUCUAUACAAUCAAAUUUCUUGACAUGUUUUCUUUGUUCGAAAUUAUACGAAGAACCAACAACAUUGCAAUGUUUACAUUCGUUCUGCAAGAAGUGUAUCCUGAAAAAUAUUCAGCAGCAAACCUCUGACGUUACCAAGAAAUGCCCAGUUUGCCAAGAAACAAUUGAUGAAAACCUGGAAGAAAAAAACACAAAUAUGCUCUUGAAAAACCGAGUAGUGUUCUUAAAAGAACAGGCCAAGAAUUUAUCAAAUCCUAUUUGUGCACUAUGUAGACUCAAAUUUCAGAAAAGUACAAUGGCAGUUGCACAAUGCAUUAGUUGUUUGGAUUAUCUGUGUGAAGUAUGUUCAAAUUUUCACAAUAUGACAACUUUAACGAUAAAUCAUCAGGUGAUGUCACUGACAGAAAUAAAGUCAGGGAAGUAUGAUGACGCAAUCUUGUCUAUCAGGUUUAAAACGUUUUGUCCUAAACAUCCGGACGAAGAAAUAAAGUUCUGUUGU